ACGAACGCUGGCGACGUGCCUAAUACAUGCAAGUAGAACGCUGAAGGAGGAGCUUGCUUCUCUGGAUGAGUUGCGAACGGGUGAGUAACGCGUAGGUAACCUGCCUGGUAGCGGGGGAUAACUAUUGGAAACGAUAGCUAAUACCGCAUAAUAGUAGAUGUUGCAUGACAUUUGCUUAAAAGGUGCAAUUGCAUCACUACCAGAUGGACCUGCGUUGUAUUAGCUAGUUGGUGGGGUAACGGCUCACCAAGGCGACGAUACAUAGCCGACCUGAGAGGGUGAUCGGCCACACUGGGACUGAGACACGGCCCAGACUCCUACGGGAGGCAGCAGUAGGGAAUCUUCGGCAAUGGACGGAAGUCUGACCGAGCAACGCCGCGUGAGUGAAGAAGGUUUUCGGAUCGUAAAGCUCUGUUGUAAGAGAAGAACGAGUGUGAGAGUGGAAAGUUCACACUGUGACGGUAUCUUACCAGAAAGGGACGGCUAACUACGUG
rnacentral:rRNA from 1 species